UACGUAGGUGGCAAGCGUUGUUCGGAUUUACUGGGCGUAAAGAGCGCGCAGGCGGUCGUGCAAGUCGCGUGUGAAAGCCCCCGGCUCAACUGGGGAGGGUCACGCGAUACUGCUCGACUUGAAGGCAGGAGAGGGAAGUGGAAUUCCCGGUGUAGUGGUGAAAUGCGUAGAUAUCGGGAGGAACACCAGUGGCGAAGGCGACUUCCUGGCCUGUUCUUGACGCUGAGGCGCGAAAGCUAGGGUAGCAAACGGG
rnacentral:rRNA from 1 species